rnacentral:rRNA from 1 species
CUACCUCGCCGGAGGGAACAACCCCUCGAAAGAGAGGCUAAUACCCAAAAGGAUCCGCAAGGAUCAGAGUCCGCAAGGGCCUGGCGAGAGGAGUCUGCGGCCCAUCAGCUAGUUGGUGAGGUAAUGGCUCACCAAGGCUACGACGGGUAGGGGGUCUGAGAGGAUGAUCCCCCACACUGGAACUGAAACACGGUCCAGACGCCUACGGGUGGCAGCAGGGAGGAAUAUUGGACAAUGGGGGAAACCCCGAUCCAGCAACGCCGCGUGAGGGAUGAAGGCCUUCGGGUUGUAAACCUCUUUUCAGGGAGACGAGCAAGGACGGUAUCCCUGGAAUAAGUCACGGCUAACUACGUGCCAGCAGCCGCGGUAAUACGUAGGUGGCGAGCGUUAUCCGGAUUUACUGGGCGUAAAGCGCUUGUAGGCGGCUUUGUAAGUUGGGCGUGAAAGCUCCGGGCUUAACUCGGAGAGGCCGUCCAAUACUGCAGGGCUAGAGGAUGUCAGAGGAAGGUGGAAUUCCUGGUGUAGCGGUGAAAUGCGUAGAUAUCAGGAGGAACACCCGUGGCGAAGGCGGCCUUCUGGGGCAUUCCUGACGCUGAGAAGCGAAAGCUAGGGGAGCAAACAGGAUUAGAAACCCUGGUAGUCCUAGCCGUAAACGAUGGAUGCUAGGUGUUGGCGGAUUUAAACCCGUCAGUGCCGAAGCUAACGCGUUAAGCAUCCCGCCUGGGAAGUACGACCGCAAGGUUA